rnacentral:rRNA from 1 species
AUUGAACGCUGGCGGCAGGCCUAACACAUGCAAGUCGAACGGUAGCAGGAAGCAGCUUGCUGCUUUGCUGACGAGUGGCGGACGGGUGAGUAAUGUCUGGGAAACUGCCUGAUGGAGGGGGAUAACUACUGGAAACGGUAGCUAAUACCGCAUAACGUCGCAAGACCAAAGAGGGGGACCUUCGGGCCUCUUGCCAUCGGAUGUGCCCAGAUGGGAUUAGCUUGUUGGUGGGGUAACGGCUCACCAAGGCGACGAUCCCUAGCUGGUCUGAGAGGAUGACCAGCCACACUGGAACUGAGACACGGUCCAGACUCCUACGGGAGGCAGCAGUGGGGAAUAUUGCACAAUGGGCGCAAGCCUGAUGCAGCCAUGCCGCGUGUAUGAAGAAGGCCUUCGGGUUGUAAAGUACUUUCAGCGGGGAGGAAGGGAGUAAAGUUAAUACCUUUACUCAUUGACGUUACCCGCAGAAGAAGCACCGGCUAACUCCGUG